ACUUGGAUAGUUUAAAAAGAACAUGACGUUGAAAGCGUUAAGGUGUUCUCUCUAAGCA
rnacentral:tRNA from 1 species